CAAUAGCGUAUGCUAAAGUUGUUGCAGUUAAAAGGCUCGUAGUCGAACUUAUGGCCCUGUGAACCCGGCCCAAUCUCUAGUAGGUUGCGUGCUGGUGUGCACGGGUCAUUUUUCUGGAGAGCAUUGCUGCCCUUGAUUGGGUUGGUGAUGUGAUUCAGAUCAUUUACUGUGAGAAAAUCAAAGUGUUCAAAGCAGGCUUUAAUGCUUGUAUGGUUCAGCAUGGAAUAAUAAGAUAAGACUUCGGUUUUGUUUUGUUGGCUAUACGAACCAAAGUAAUGAUUGAAAGGGAUAGUUGGGGGUGCUAGUAUUCAGUGGUCAGCGGUGAAAUGCGAGGACCCAUUGAAGACUAACUUAUGCGAAAGCAUUCACCAAGGAUAUCUUCUUUGA
rnacentral:rRNA from 1 species